rnacentral:rRNA from 1 species
UACGUAGGGGGCAAGCAUUAUCCGGAUUUACUGGGUGUAAAGGGAGCGUAGACGGCAGCGCAAGUCUGGAGUGAAAUGCCGGGGCCCAACCCCGGAACUGCUUUGGAAACUGUGCAGCUCGAGUGCAGGAGAGGUAAGCGGAAUUCCUAGUGUAGCGGUGAAAUGCGUAGAUAUUAGGAGGAACACCAGUGGCGAAGGCGGCUUACUGGACUGUAACUGACGUUGAGGCUCGAAGGCGUGGGGAGCAAACAGG